UACGUAGGGGGCUAGCGUUAUCCGGAAUUACUGGGCGUAAAGGGUGCGUAGGUGGUUUCUUAAGUCAGAGGUGAAAGGCUACGGCUCAACCGUAGUAAGCCUUUGAAACUGGGAAACUUGAGUGCAGGAGAGGAGAGUGGAAUUCCUAGUGUAGCGGUGAAAUGCGUAGAUAUUAGGAGGAACACCAGUUGCGAAGGCGGCUCUCUGGACUGUAGCUGACACUGAGGCACGAAAGCGUGGGGAGCAAACAGG
rnacentral:rRNA from 1 species